rnacentral:rRNA from 1 species
UUCUAUUAGAAUUAAUUAAUAGUAAAAUCUGCUCAAUGAAAAAUUAAAUAGCCGCAAUUCGUGCUAAGGUAGCAUAAUCAUUUGUCUUUUAAUUAAAGACUAGAACAAAAGAUUUCACAUUUCAAUUUAUUUCUAAAAAUUAAAAUUUAAAUUAUUUUAAUUGUAAAAAAACAAUUAUUAAACAAAAAGACGACAAGACCCUAUUGAACUUAACUUAAGUUAAACUGGGGCAGUUAGUUAAAUAUUACUUUAAAAAAAGUAAAACAACAUAUAGACCUAAUACAAUUAAUUAAAAAAUUAAGUUACCUUAGGGAUAACAGCGUAAUAAUUUUUUAAAGUUCUUAUUUAAAAAAGAGAUUGCGACCUCGAUGUUGAAUUAAUUUAUCCAACUAACGCAAUAGUAAGUUGAGAAAGUCUGUUCGACUUUUCAAAAAUU